GAUCCACUGAGGUAUGAUGCAUACCAUUAUGAUGUAUGGCCCCUUUUUGCAUUAGAGUAACAAACUGUCAUUGUCCUUUCAUAGUACAUACCUAGGGAUUUGCCCACAGAUGAGGGUCCUUCAGCCUCAGCACACAAUCUAAGCAGGUUGCCAGCAAAGGAGCUGUAUAAGGUCCAUCUUCAAAAACAAAUAAGAAAAAGUGACAUGGAGAUGGACCUUAUACAGCUUCAAAUGGAAGAGAAAAGGCUCCUCAUUAAAAAAGCAGCACUUGAAAUAGAAUUACUUGAGAAUCGCCUUAAGGAAAUGAAGAAAUAAACUGCCUGGCAGACCAGUGCAAAAAAAACUAAUAAAAGUAAUUUUGACAAAUCCUGUCUCUCAAAAGUCUUCCGUCUCUGUUGGCCUCUAAAAUCUGUCGGUGUUCCUCUGGGCCAUCUUCCUCAAUACAAC